GGAGGGGUGCCGGAGCGGUCGAACGGGGCGGUCUCGAAAACCGUUGUCCCGCCAGAAGCGGGACCGGGGGUUCGAAUCCCUCCCCCUCCG
rnacentral:tRNA from 1 species